AACUUCUGAAUGUUGACCUCGGAUCAGGUAGGAAUACCCGCUGAACUUAAGCAUAUCAAUAAGCGGAGGAAAAGAAACCAACAGGGAAUUGCCCUAGUAACGGCGAGUGAAGCGGCAACGGCUCAAAUUUAAAAUAUGGCUCUCGGGCCCGAGUUGUAAUUUGU
rnacentral:rRNA from 1 species